rnacentral:rRNA from 1 species
UACGGAGGAUGCAAGCGUUAUCCGGAAUUAUUGGGCGUAAAGCGUCCGUAGGUGGUUCAUCAAGUCUGCUGUUAAAGCGCAAGGCUUAACCUUGUAAAGGCAGUGGAAACUGGUGGACUAGAGUGCGGUAGGGGUAGAGGGAAUUCCCAGUGUAGCGGUGAAAUGCGUAGAUAUUGGGAAGAACACCGGUGGCGAAAGCGCUCUACUGGACCUGCACUGACACUGAGGGACGAAAGCUAGGGGAG